rnacentral:rRNA from 1 species
GCGAGUGAAGCGGCAACAGCUCAAAUUUGAAAUCUGGCUCCUUUGGGGUCCGAGUUGUAAUUUGCAGAGGGUGCUUUUGGCGUCGGCCGUGGUCUAAGUUCCUUGGAACAGGACGUCACAGAGGGUGAGAAUCCCGUACGUGGCCGCCGGCCUUCGCCUUGUAAAGCCCCUUCGACGAGUCGAGUUGUUUGGGAAUGCAGCUCUAAAUGGGAGGUAAAUUUCUUCUAAAGCUAAAUACCCGCCAGAGACCGAUAGCGCACAAGUAGAGUGAUCGAAAGAUGAAAAGCACUUUGGAAAGAGAGUGAAAAAGCACGUGAAAUUGUUGAAAGGGAAGCGCUUGCGGCCAGACGUGCCCGCGGUGGUUCAGCCGGGCUCCCGCCCGGUGCAUUCCUCUGCGGGCAGGCCAGCAUCAGUUCGGGCGGUCGGACAAAGGCCUCCAUCACGUACCACCCCUCGGGGUGGCCUUAUAGGGGAGGCGCAACACGGCCAGCCUGGACUGAGGUUCCGCGCAUCUGCUAGGAUGCUGGCGUAAUGGCAGCAAGCGGCCCGUCUUGAAACACGGACCAAGGAGUCUAACAUCUAUGCGAGUGUUUGGGUGGCAAGCCCGAGCGCGCAAUGAAAGUGAACGGAGGUGGGAACCCCUCGGGGCGCACCAUCGACCGAUCCUGAUGUCUUCGGAUGGAUUUGAGUAAGAGCAUAGCUGUUGGGACCCGAAAGAUGGUGAACUAUGCCUGAAUAGGGUGAAGCCAGAGGAAACUCUGGUGGAGGCUCGCAGCGGUUCUGACGUGCAAAUCGAUCGUCAAAUUUGGG